rnacentral:rRNA from 1 species
AGCGAACGCUGGCGGCAGGCUUAACACAUGCAAGUCGAGCGGGCCCUUCGGGGUCAGCGGCAGACGGGUGAGUAACGCGUGGGAACGUGCCCUUCGGUUCGGAAUAACCCUGGGAAACUAGGGCUAAUACCGGAUACGCCCUUAUGGGGAAAGGUUUACCGCCGAAGGAUCGGCCCGCGUCUGAUUAGCUUGUUGGUGAGGUAACGGCUAACCAAGGCGACGAUCAGUAGCUGGUCUGAGCGGAUGAUCAGCCACACUGGGACUGAGACACGGCCCAGACUCCUACAGGAGGCAGCAGUGGGGAAUAUUGGACAAUGGGGGCAACCCUGAUCCAGCCAUGCCGCGUGAGUGGUGACGGCCUUAGGGUUGUAAAGCUCUUUUACCCGGGACGAUAAUGACGGUACCGGGUGAAUAAGCCCCGGCUAACUUCGUGCCAGCCGCCGCCGUAA